GCAAAAUAAUAAUUCUUCCAUGGUAUCCUCACUUUCUAAAAAUCAUAUACCUGGUUUGGACCUAAUUACUAAUACUGAAUGCAAUACCAAAGGAUUUCUGAAUGUCUCAAAGAUUAUACCACAAAAUCAAACCGAACCGAUUCAAACACCUGACGACAAGCCAUUUAAUUUUCCCAAAAGCAAUACAACCUCUGCAAUUAUAAACCAACAACCAGUUAGUAUGCCUCUUAACAAUAUCCACCAAUCAACUACAUCCAUGUUUCAGAAUUCUUAUAGUUGGUCAAAGUUUAACAAUCCUGUAUCCUAUUAUGAUAAAAAUCCAGUGGAUGUGAAUGAUGCACCAUCAUCUAGAUUUGGUCAACAAAAUGAUAUUAAUGCUCGACCACCAUAUGAUGAAGAAAUAUCUAAUACUUCUUACAAUAGUUCUCAAAAUGCUACUAAUAAUAUGAACUAUAGAAGACCACUAGAAGGAUCAUAUAUUAAUAAACUGAUAAACGAAAGUAGUAGUACAAUGUACAAUAAGGGUCCAGAUGACCAACUUUAUAAUAGAAAUUUUAAUACACAAACUAGUAAUUUUCGAGGUUAUCAACCAAAUAUUUCCAAUAAUAAUAAUUUCAACAGAUCACCGGAAAACAUUCCAUAUCAACAUCAAAAACCAUUGAAUCUAACACAUUCGAAACCGCCUUCUUUGUUGAGUUUAAAUGUGGUUAAACCAAUUACACUAGGUAAGAAUUUAAAAUUACACUGUUUACAAAAUAUUUAUUUUUUAUAUUUCUGAACAUCAGAAUUUAUAAUAAAUUAUUAUUUAUUCUCAUAUAUUUUACCGACUGGUAUUAUUUUUGGUAUAUUAUUAUGAUUUUAUUUACCUGUUAGCAGAAAUUUUGACAAUUUAGAAAAUAAUAUCACUUUUGUAGUUUCUUGGGCAAUUACCCAAUAUAAUACUAAAGAACAUGGAGUUUACUUUGUGCAAAUAAUAUAGUAUUAUACUAAUUUACUAUUCUGUAUUAAUACAAAUACACGCCUUGUCCUAAUAUUAUCAAUCAUUAUUUUGUUACCGUAUUAUGUAUUGUCAAUUUUGCCAGUAACAUACCUACAACAUGACAUUUUAAAUUCCAUUAAUUUCAUAUUUUAGGUUCUGAUGGGAGCGAGGAAUAUAUAGGUUUUAUAGUGAUGUUUAUUUUAUUUUUGUAUUUUUUUCUGUGAAUAACUUAUCUACCAACAAUUUUAAGGGAGAUCAUUUUUUGAUUUUCCUAGGAGUUUUCAUAAUAAAUAGGAAAUACGGGAAAAUAUACAAAAUGUAUUAUUUUUAAAUUGUAAACUUUACAGCCUUUUAAAACAUCUAUAACCAAACUUCGCUCAGAAUUGUUUUUCGUAAACAAAUAUUAAUUAUUGCGUACAGAUAUAAAUUAAAUUCCCCUCAAUAUCCUACCUUCCCAACUUCUCACCUACAACAGUGACCCUCUCAUUGUAUGAAGAAUAUCCGUCAUUUUAAAUAUAAUUAUAUACAUUUACUUUUUAUUGUUUUAGAUAAACCUGGAAAUUACUUGGAAAAUAAGAACGAUUUACCAAAUAGGUAAUAAUUUUUAAUAGAUGUUUAAUAUGAGUUGGCGAUUAUUUGUAUUUUUCUAAAUUAUUAGGUAUGAAAGAAAUUGGAAUAUUGCUGAUGAUGAAGAAGAUCCGGAAAAUGAAUACAUGGAAGCACAUAAAAAAUUUAGUUCUGAACCAUUUGAUGAUCAAUAUGAUGAUCAAUUUUCAAACCAACAGCAUAGAAAUUCAUAUUAUGAUAAUGAUAAUUAUUCUAGAGGACAUCAGGGGCCUAGAGACUACAAUGAUGACUAUCCUAGAUCUUUGAAUCAAUCAAGUGGACCUCAAAUACCGAAGAAUAUGGACAUUGAAUACCCUAGACCGAAUUCUCAAUUCUCUAGAAAUGUUAACCAAAGUUACCCUCACGAUUUGCAAACACCAAAAAAGAAAGACAGUGAUUAUUAUAAAUCUACAAAUAAUAUUAAAAGUAUAGAUCAAGGAUUUUCCAGGGAAGUGCCUAAUUUAAGAGAUGUCAAUGGUGAGUAUUCUAAUGAAUCCACUGUUGAUAAAAACAAAUUUAUUUCACCAAAAGGGAACUAUGGACUUCCUCCAAGAAGAAAUUAUGAACCGUCUAGAAGUAAUUUUGGUAAUAAUUUAAAUAAGACAAAUAUAGAAUGGGAUAAUAAAGACUAUACACAAAAUGAGGCACCUCAACAGUCUGUAAAAGAUAUCAUAAUUCCACCUCUUGUUCAACAGCCAGCAAUUGAUUGCACACCAAUUGAUCCAGUAAAAAUAUUUGAUUAUCGUCAUUUACCCACAUUAAAAGUAAUUCCAGGUAAUAUUACAUUUGAAUUUUAUGAAAAAAUAAUUACUGUAAACUCUAAUUAUUUAAUAAUAACUUAGUAUUUAUAUUUAGGAAUAUCAAAAGAAACUGUGAUCCCAAUUAGAGUUUAUGAUUAUAAACAUGGAGGUAAACGUAUACUACCAUGGCAAGAUAGAGGUUUGUAUUAGAUUUUUAAUUCGCAGUAGGGCUGUUUAAAAUUAUUGUAAUAUGAGUAACAAUAUCCCUUGUGAUAAAAAAAAUUAUAAUUGUUUAAACUGACUAAGGAUCUAUAUUUUACUCAGGACCACAAUUUUGCUCAGUUUAACCUAGAUCAGGGAUCCACAACUAGAUGGGAGAAAUCUGAUGUGCACUUUGACAUCAUAGGCCAAAAUUGCUUAGGAAAACGUAGAUAGAUAAUUAGAUUUGGUUUUUCACUAUUAUUAGUUUUUGAGAACAAUACCUAAAUUAAACACCCUUCUAUUAUAUACUUUUUUCGUAAAAUUCAAUUUAAAACUAAUUUACUUUUAAAUUGUCAGUUAGUUUGGCCAUAAGAUGGAGACCCUUAAUCUAGGCAUGUCACUUCUGUAUUAUUAUUAUUAUUAUUAUUUGUUUUUAUAACAAUACUAUAGUGAACAAAAGUCAUUACAUUUAUUGUAAAUUAAAAAGAUUGGUGACAAUAUUCCAAAUUUGUUCAUAUUUUAUAACCACCUUAUGAUAUUACCACAAUUAUAACGAAUCGUUCGAUUUUCGAAAUGAAAAUUAUUUACUACUACUUCUGUGCAGUCACCAAUAUGAUUUUCUGUAGUAAAACAGAGCAACCUUGUUACAAAGAAGAAAAAUUCUCUGUCAUAAAUUCAUAAGUAAAAGGCAAAUUAUUUCAAAUACAUUUUUUAUAAAUUCUAUCAAUAUUUUAGAUUCUAGACUGGGUUUUAGGUUUAAAUUGAUUAAAAUAUACAGUUACUAAUUCCCUUAAAUUAAAAUGACAAAUGGUUUUAUUCAAAAUAAUAAAUUUGCUUUCGGUUAAUUAUAUGUACAGAUUGUUUCACAAAGAUUGUAAAAACUUUUAUUCUGUUCAAUAGUUUAACGAUUUUUCUUUUUUGUAUUAACUGACUAGAAUAUUUUUUUUUUUUUAAAAAAACACUUAAGAUAAAUUUAAACAUUUAUACUAAAAAAAUUGUUGAUUUAAGAAAUGUUUAUUGAUAAUGAGUUACAUUUUUUCCAUUUCAACUACCAAAUAAUUUCAUAUUUAAUGUUAAUGUAUAACUAUAAUAAAAUCCAAUUAUGAACCAAUGCAAUAACAAUAAUAGGUAAAGGUAAUAAAGAUGUAAUGUAGAAAAAUUAUUUUGGGUAAUUAGAUCUGGGCUAUUAUAAAGAAUGUAAUACCUCUUUAUUGAAUAUUUUUAAGUUUUUUUUUUUUUAAUGUUUAGAAAAACCUAACCUUUGAAAACUUCAACAAUUUUUAAAAAACUAAACGACUCAUCAUUAGUUAACAUUUGUAACAGUUAGACUUCUAACUCACUAGGCAGUCUGGCUGCAUCAGCCAUCCAUGGCCACUGAUAAGCAAUGGUUGAGUAUGCAAUAUGUGACUUGUAAUAAUUAGCCAGUUAGCUGCUGUGCAUUCGUGUACGUUCUGUUUGCUGCUACACCCACAAAUUAAUGGCUAUCUAGUGUGCAAGCUACAAUUAACCGCCAAAUGUCACAUUAGCUGUGUCAGCCAAGUUGCCUAGUGGUUUAGAAGCCUGCAAUUUUUUAAAAUAAAUGUAUUAAUUAACUAUUAUAUUUUGUAUAAAAAAGAAAUUAAAAAUAUUAAACAGAAUACAAGUUAGUGCAUUUGUUACAGUGAUAAUUGAUAUACUUAAAAUAAAAAAUAAUAUUUAAAUGAGUAGCCUGGUCACAAGAACCACUCUUUUAGGUUAGGACACCAUUUGAAAUGGGAUAAAUCAUUUGAAUAACCAUAUAAUAUAUCUAGGUUUGUUAAUUUAUACACAAAUUUCAGGUUUUAGUCGAAGAAAUUCAAAUCAUCCAAGAGAUUUAAAUGAAGAAGGUAAAUAAUUAUAACUAAAUGACAUUUAUAUACAAUGUGUAUUAUAUUUUAUAUAUGAGUUUAUUAUAUUUAAAAUGUAAAUGACUAUUAAAUUUAAUAAUAUUAUUUUCAAUUUUAAAUUGAAAUUAUGUAUAAUAAUAAUAUUUUUAAUUUUUUUUAAGACAACAUUAAUGAUCAAGAUAAAAAUAAAGAAACAUCAACUAAGAAGCCAACAUCAUUUGGGUCACAAGGUAGUUUAUUUUAAAUUAAAGUUGAGAAUAAAUAAAUUAUCAAGCAUAUAAUUAUUAUAUAAUAUUUAGAUAAUUCAUCAGACAUUAAAGAUUUUGAUUUUAAAAAUAAAGCCAAAGAAACUAAAAUGAUUGAAGAAACUACUAUUUUCGAAAUUAAAGAUGACAAAUUUAAAGAAGAUACAUCUAUUCCAGUAGACACUAUUACUAUUAUUGACGAUGAUGAUGUUGAAGAGGAGGAUGUGAUGAUUAUUGAUAAUUUAGAAAAAAGAGAAUUACUACAGUCUGGCAACAAAACAAAUAAUUCCCAUGUCCAUGUGCCAUCUCCACCUAAAAUGUUGCACAAUAUGGAAGUCGAAAAAUCACCUGCUAGAAAAUUGUUAUCUAUUGAUACAUUACUAAGUCCACCUGGUCGGCUUAAUAGACCGGCCAAAAUAGUUAUAAUAAUGAGAGGAUUACCUGGUUCAGGAAAAUCCUACGUUGCGAAGUUAAUCAAAGUUAGUAUAAUAUUAUACAUUUGUAUAUUAUAUUAUAUCAGUGCUUGAAUGAAUAUUGGUAAAAGUAACAAAUAUGUAUGUAUAAUAAGUGUAUGUUUCUGUAGACUUAUUUGAAUUAUUUAAACAAACUAGAUGAGAUAUGAAAUAGUUAAGAAAAAAAGGUAUUCAGUCUUCUCGCAUCUGUCAAUUCAAGUACUGAUUAAUAUUACAUUUUAUUGAGUUAUCUACAUUGUAAUAAAUUUCAUUAGGAGAAAGAAGUAGCAAUGGGUGGACAAGCUCCUAGAGUAUUAUCAUUAGAUGAUUAUUUUAUGACAGAAAUAACUAAGACUGAAAUUAAUCCUGAGACCAAUAAAACAGUGGAAAAAAAGGUAAUAUUGUUUAUAUUGUUAUUCUUGUUUAAACCCAUUAAUAUCUAAAAAAUAUUUAAUUUUCUUACAUUAUCUUACAGGCUAAUUAAAACAUGAAAUGUGGUUGUUAGGUCAAAUACACAUACAUGUUAAAAUUAAAUCAAAAUAAUGUAAUAUUUUUAAUUUUAAUAAUUUAUUUUUAUCUCAGUAAUAUUGUGAUAAAAUGGUUUUACAAUACAUAUUUUUAUAUCACUUGAAAGAUUGGGGUUUCCAUUGCAUUGCGACCCUAACUGUUUUGAUGUUUCCUUGUCAUUAUGUAAUUAUAGUGUCCUUUAUACUUUAACAAAGUCUGUUACUGGUGUAGGUUUUACCAAUAUUUUACUAAUUUUUUUUCUAUCUCGUUUGCCGAUUUCCCAUUGCUUUAUCUAUAGUAGUAGAUCCACAUAUUUUCCUCUAUGCUGUGUUCUCAAAAUGUAUCAAUCUUAAUUCUACUGUUUGGUUAUUGUUUAAGUGUCACGUCUAUGAAUGAAAGUUGUUUCUACUUUGUUUAUAGUUGUCCUAGAUUAGCGGGCAUAGGAUUAAGGAUCAUAAGGGCACCAGAUACACACACCAACAUAAUAUAGCAACCAAACAAACUCUCAUAUAUUUUAACAAUAAAUAAAUACAAUAACAAUUAUAAGUAUCUUAUUGAAACUAUCAAUGAGACCAGUGAUUUUCAACCUGGGGGUUAUGACCGACUAAGGGGUUGCGAAAAAUUAUGGUAUCAUGUAUACCAGCGUUUCCCAACCUUUUUCCCUCGCGGCACACUAAUCCCAACCCAUAUUUAGCCGCGGCACACUUGUCACUUAGUUAUUUAUGUAUACAAAUUUUUUUAUACUAGACUUUCAUCAUAUUAAUUAUUAAUACCAAAAUAGUUGUAUAUCAGUAUAAUAUUUCUAGCAAACAUUUUAAAAUGGUAGGAUAGAAAAAAAUAUUAUUACAAUUAUCCUAAAUAUUUAAUUUAUUGAAAUGGAAAAACAAGAUACAUUACAAUUUUUAUAAAAAACCUAAUCUUAGUGAGAAAUUUGGGACUGUUUUCUCUUCAUUAUUAGGUUCCUUCGUGGUCGAAUGGUUGAUAAGCACACCCUCAUGUCGUCUUCCAAGUUCUUCAGUUUUGAUGGCAUUCAUUGAAGAGAAUGCUCACUAUUCAUAGCAGAACACAUUGAUUAAAUAAUCUUGAUUUCAAAGGUUUACUUUUAAUGAAGUUUACCAUUUUGACAACAGUUUGCAAUACUUCAUUGAGCUCAGGCAUCAAAGAUUUAGCAACGAGAGCUUCUCUAUAUAUGAAGCAGUGAGUGAAAAUAAUAUCCAGGUUUUCUUUCUUAACUAAUGCCAAAAAACCUGUUAAAUGACCAAUCAUUGAAGGGCACCCAUCUGUACAAACACUCAAACAAAAUUUCCAUGAUAUAUUGGCAGUGGUAAAAUAAUUGUUAACCAAAUUAAAAAUAUCUUGUCCUUUUGUAGUUUCAGGAAGGUCUUUACAAAAUAAAAAUUGUUCUAUCAACUCAUUAUCGCAUAUAAAUUUUACGAAUGUCAUGACCUGAGGUUUUCCGGUUACAUCUGUAGACUCAUCUAAUUGAAGGGCAAACAAUUCAGCUGCUUUCAGUUUUUCAUUCACGNUCACCAAACAAAAUUUUAAAGAUUUCACAGCAUGCUGGUAAAAUGGUUGACUCGGCUGUUGUGUGAGAUUUCAUUUUUUUUGCUAUCAGUUCCACGACAGCAUAGCUAGCUUCCUGUGCCUUAUCUGAUACAGUUGAGUGUUUUAUAAACUUUAAAGCCUGUCUGUUUUGAUCUGAGGCUAACCUUUUGAAAAAAUCUAGAGGCUUUUCAGACGCAAAACCAUGUUUUGUAAGCAGGUGCCUUUUCAGCUUACUUGGUACAAUACUUUCAUUAGAUAAUUUUUCAAUACACAUGAGGCAUUGAGGUAUACUAGGUAUAGGCAUUUCUCCACCACUCGACGUGAAAUCAAAUGAUAAAAAGCUUUCGUGAUAUUGUCGAAUAUAAUUUUUUGAUCGUACGUUAGCAUUUUUACUCGCACUCACCUCAACAUUAGGAGGAUUGAAACUAGGACCAGGCAAUUCCUCAACAUCAACUCUAUGAGCACUAUUAGGAUCAGGCAAUUCUUCGCUUAAUUUACGUUUCCUAAUUAAAAAAUGAUCCAUCGUGCGCUACACGUAGUACGAAUGAUAAUCGUAAAGCGAAAAGAAAAAAUUUCCGUUAAAGUAUAACACGGUAAUAAUAAAUGUACUUCAUACGACGACAAACGACUAACUGACAUUUUAACAUUUUAAAUGAAUUAAUAAGAAAUAGUGAACAAUAAGAUAAGAUUCUCCCCGAUAAGAGAAUCGUUAAAACUAUUUUAACCAAUUACUGAAAUUUUACGGAAACUUUUAUUAAUAGUCAUGGCAUUUCGCGGCACACCGGUUGGGAAACCCUGAUGUAUACUGUACAUUAUAUUAUUCAAAUUCUGUUAAACAGUUUUUGAAGAGAUUAUCAAAGAUGUAAACAAAAAAAUUUGGGAUUCGUAAAAGUUUGAAAACUACUAGACUAGGCGUUAAUAUCUAAAUAUUCGAUUGUUUGGUUUUAAACCAGUCUAAAAGUAAAAACUUAUAGAUCUUGCUCAUCACUACUAUCAAGGUCAUGGGGUACUUGAGUCUGCAUCUGAUAUUCUGAUUCUUCAGCUUUCCUGUUCAGCAGUUUAUGCACCAGCCAACAUGGUACACUUGCAUGAAUUUGUGCACUGCUUCCCUCAUACUAUGCCAGAAGAAACACUACUUUAUUAUUGUACUUUACCUACUCUUGAUGGUUUCUUCAUGGUUGUGAAAUCUCCAUACUGAAGAGUUUACUUAUUUUCUCCAGUAUAUUCAGAUCAUUCUAUUGAUUGAAACCUUCAUAUAUCUGCCCGAAAAUGCAUUCUGUUGUCCUUGAAUGUCCUUGUAUAGAUAUGAUCCAAAACAAUUGUGGCCUUACAGUGCCAGAGUUAAAUGUUGGCUCCCCAGUUCAUAGCUUCAUCGAAAUAUUACUUAGUACUGUAUAAAUCUAAAUUUCUUACAGUGAACCACUUUAAUAUGUAAUCAUAUAAUGUCAUACAAUAUUAUAUAAAUUGUCUUGUCUAUAUAAUCAUUAAAUAAUAUUUUGUUUUACUUAGCAUUUUUAUUUAAAUAAAUGUAAUACUAUUAAAAAAUUUAAAGAUAAAAUAUUUGAUACCGAGGAAGAAGGACAUAGGUUAAUUUUAUACAGUUUUAAAUACAAGCAAAUUAAAUUUAAAGUAUAUACACUUAUGCUACUUAACCAAAAAAAAUUACAGAGGAAAAAUUGUCUGAAGUCCUUUUGCCCUAAAAAUGUAUUUAUUUUUUUUUUUCGUAACAUUAUUUUGUGUACUUUAUUGUUUAAGGUUAUGGAAUAUGAAUAUGAUUCUGCUAAUGAAAGUUUAUACCGUACAUCCUUUAUAAAAGCAUUUAAGAAAAAAGUGGUCGAAAAUUUUUUUUCAUUUUUUAUUAUUGAUGCUAUAAAUAAUAAAGUUACAUAUUAUAAAGAUAUACUUGAUAUUUCUAGAAUCAAUGGAUUUACUGUAAGUGUUAUUGAGUCUUUGUGCUAUAUUGUAUGUUUAAAUAUCUUGAUAUAUAUAUAUGCGUAUAUAAAAUAUAAUUAUUUUACAUUACUAUUAGAUUUGUUUUGGGGAAAAUGUAAUGUGUGAUUUAGUAAAGAUAAGUAGUAUCUUUAUAGUUUAUAGUAUUAAAAAAAGACUGACAUAUUUUGCAUGAUAGGUGGGCCACUAUUGUAAGUGAGAAUUUGAGCAAGUAGGAUAUAGAAAGGAAUUUAACGUUUAUCUGUACACAACUAUUAAUCAUUGCUAACCAAAAAUAAUUCUGAGCGGAGUUUAGUUUUACAUAUUUAUAAAGGUCGUAAUGUUUUUGACUUUUGUUGAAAUUUGAUAUUAAAAUUCUUAUAAAAAGAAUUCUACAUUACACUCAGUUUUUUAGAUUCUAAAUGGAGUGAGAAAUGUAUUGGUUUUACAAUGAUGUUUAUUUUAUUUUAUUUUUUAUGUGAACACUUUUUCUGAAAGGAAAUAUUUUCUGGGUGGUACUUUUAGAGAUCAUUUUUUAAAAUUCUCAUUAAUAUUUGAGAUAAUGAAGAAAACCUGGUUCUUUAGGUUAAAAAAGAUUGAAAGAUUACAAAUAAGGUUGUCAUUUUCAACCGCUAGGUUAUUUAUUUUUUGUUAUUAAGUUUUUAUUAUUUUAAGUCUUUUAUAAACAAUCAUUGUUGUCAUGGAAACGAAAAUGUAAUCAUUUUAUCAUAAUAUGAUAUAUACGAGUAUAUUGUAAACAACUAAACUCUGCUCAGAAUGGUUUUUUCGUAAGCAAUAGUUUAUUGUCUUUAUAAAAAUUUAAUUUUUUUUUUUUUUUUUUUGUUAUUAUGAACCUCUUAUUUAAUUUUCAAUCGUUUCUGUUUGAUUUUACAUUUUUAUCCACGGAGGUUAGAUUAGGACUACCUACCAGAGAAAAAUGACAUAAAAAACUCGCAAAAUUAAAAUGUUUAUAAAUAGCUCGAAAAUGGGUAAAAUGUUUUAAAAAAUUUACCACGUCUAGAUAAGGCAAAUUUAAUUUUUUUAACUGAAUAAUAACAAAAAGAAAAUUUAAAUUUAUAAAUUUUGUAAACAUUCCCGUUUUAUUUCGUUUUUUUGUAAUUAUGAAAAUCUCUUGAAAAAUCAUUAAAUGACUUCCCUAAAGUACCACCCAGAUAAAAUUUCUUUUCAGAAAAUGUACUACAAUUGCUCCAUUAUCAACACGCCGCAUGCUGUAUAAUACAGUGGAGUGGUGAAAUCACUACCCUCCUUUAACCAAUACUAAAAAGUGGAAUAUCUCCUCAAACGGAAAUCAAAACUUUCAACACAAAAAUUUAUUUUAACAUUAUCUUUUCAUCUAUUUAUGGAAUUUUUAAUAUAGAUUGCCAUUUUCAAAUCAAAAAUAGUUACCCCCCAAAAAUAAGGGUAGAACAGCUUAUUUUCUUAAAUGUUCUAUAAAACAAAUUCCUGAAAUAAUUAAUACUUUCCGAGAUAAUGAGUUUAUUCACUUAAAUGGAUCACUUAGCAUGUAUGUAUAAUUAUUUAUAGGCUGUCUCACGAAGAUAUACCCCUUGAAUAUCUCCGGAGAUAACAAAUAUAAUCAAAUUCUGUUUUUUUUUUUUUAUAUAUUACUCACAGGGAUGAGAACUAAAAUAUUUUAUUAUUUUAGGAAAAUUUUAAGAUAGCCAUUCUGUAGCGUUUAUUUUUCUGAAAAUUUUAAUUUAUCACACAUUACCCUGUGCCACCCACUAAAAAAUGUAUUUUGCAAUAAAGUCCAUUCCCUAGUUAUCACGUAACACAGUUAAGUCAUUCCUUAAAUAAGUAACAUUAGUUUUCACACAGAUUAGGGAAUUUAAAAUGGCUGUUACUUAAAAACUAUUCAUCGGAUAUAAAUGUGUGAUACAUUAAAAUUUUCAGCAAAAUAAAUUCUGCAGAAUGGCAUUUAUAAAAUUUUACUAAAAUAUUAAAAAUAGUUAUAUAUUUUUUAAGUUUUUUACUAAAAAAAAAAUUGAAUACAAAUAAAAAAUAUUUGUAGUCCUCAUCCCUGUGAGUAAUAUAAAAAAAAAAAUUUGAUUAUCUUUAUCAUCUCUGAAGAUAUUAAAAGGGUAUAUUUUGGUGGGACAGCCAAUAUAUAUUUAUUUUUUUUUCAUAAAUCAAGAUAUUUAAAUACAAUAAUAAUAAUAAUGAUUUUGCAUAUUUUAUGUUAAUUAUAUACAUUUUUAGGUGUAUAUUAUUGAAUUAGAAGCUGAUGUUGAUCUAUGUAUCAAACGCAAUAUUCAUAAUAGAACAGCUAAUGAUAUUAAAUAUUUAAUGAAAUCUUGGGUUAAAACUCCUGAUAAUCAAAUACUGUUGGAUAUACGAUCAUUACUUAAUUUAGCUUCAAAGAGUGAAGUAUUAAAAAAAUUAUUUAAUAUUUAAACAUGUUAAAUUAAAUAUGUAUUAUUAAAUUAGAUGGAAAUGGAGGAUGUAUCAGACGUCGAAAUGGAUUUGGACAGAGACGAAAAUGACAAUGCUGAUGAUGAAAACAAACAGAAAGAAAACACAAGUAUUGAUUUUGAAGAAGAGGUAAUGGUUUUUUUUUUUAAGUUAUUUUAAGUUAGAUAACAUAUAUAUACAUUCUUCUUCUCCUUCUUUCUACAAAAUAAUGGAAAAAUAAAAUAUUCAAUGAUUGAAUAGGUUUAGAUUUUAUAAGGUUCAUAUAACUAGUUAAUUAACCAUAUUGCAGUUACCUAUUAUAUUUGUGUGAAAUGAUCUCGUGAUAAACGAAACAAAAUUAUUACUCGGAAUGUGUGAAUAAUUAUAUUUAAACAAUUGUGUAAAUAUCCAGUGGCUGAGUAGUUUUGUCAAAAUAAUGCUGUUGUUUCUAAAUUAGUGUUAUUUUUUUUUAUUUGUAUAACAUAAUCUUUAAUAAUUUUUGUUGAAAACAUAGCAUCUUAUAAAAAACGUAAAACCAGAAGAUACCAUUUCUAUUAUUCUAUUUUUUGGUUGCUAAUAUUUCUACAGGACAUCAUGAAAUUAUUGUCUUGCAAAUGGAUUGAUACUAUCCCACAAGAAGAAAAGAUGAGUAAGUUAUGUUGAUCAUUUUUUUUAUUAUUGACACAAAAAUUAACUAUUUUUAUUUAAUUUUCUACAGAUAUUAACAAUGUUAGAAAUUUUAGUUUCUCUUAAUUAUUUGAAAUUAAAUAUUAACAUUUGAAUGUUAUAUUUAUUUCAGAGAGAUUAGAUGGCCUGUGCAAGAAAAAACCAGAAAGGUCAAUUAAAGAAUGGUUACAAAUACCUGAAGAUAAUUAUACCGAUUGUGAACAAGAAGUAGUUGUCAAAGAUGGAAAAAAGAGGGUAAAUAUUAUCAUUUAUUUAUUUAAACUAAAAAUAAAAACCAAUUAUUUAAUUGUAGAUUAAGUGAUGACACUGCAAUAUUUUAACUUCUAUUAAAAAUCAAAACAAAUUAUACACAUCUUAUAUCAUUAUUAUUAGUCUACUUCACACUAUAUAUUAUAUAUAUUAUCUGUUGUAUGUGUAAGAAAUUAUUUCUGCGAUUAACGUUAAUGUUUUGAUAGCCCUUAAACUUAUUUUAAAAUCAUUUUCACCAUCUAUAGCUCUACAUUAUUUGUUUUUUCUGAUCAGUUCAUCUACGUGUACAAAACUAUAUUAAUUUCAUUUGUCCUCUAAAGAAUUAUUUUUAUAUAAUUUUGUAUUGAUAUAAAUAUGAAUUUCUAUAUGUAAAUGUUUCAUAUUUUUUAUCAGCAAAAAGAAAAUUAUACAUUAUUAAAAAACUUUUUUAUUUUGUGUAGGUUCGUUGGGCUGAUAUGGAAGAGCGACGUGAACAAGAAAAAAUGCGUGCUAUUGGUUUUGUUGUUGGGCAGACAGAUUGGAAUCGUAUGUUAGGUCGAGAUCAAGGUGAAAGCAAGCUGACCCAAACCAAAUAUAUUUGAUUAUCAAAAUAUA
rnacentral:lncRNA from 1 species